rnacentral:snRNA from 1 species
ACUCAUAACCGCAUCAGGUCUC